CAUAUUUACCUUAUCUUUAUUUGAUUAAGAAAUAUAUUUCAAACAGAUUUACUACGAGUGCAUAAGGGUACCGAGCUGCAAAGUGACGUCAGAUCUGUCGUGCCCGCGUACUCUCUGCGUUUCAAACGACGCGAGCAUUGAAGGGGAGCAUUGAACGACGUUAUCACGGUAAUGAAGAGGAGAAGAGGAGGAGGGAGGGGAGAAAGAAAUAAAGCGGCAAAAAAAAA